rnacentral:rRNA from 1 species
CCUACGGUGGGCAGCAGUGGGGAAUUUUGCGCAAUGCUCGUAAGAGUGACGCAGCGACGCCGCGUGAAUGACGAAGGCCUUCGGGUCGUAAAGUUCUUUCGACAGGGAAGAAAAUGCCUAUAAGUAACUGUGUAUGUAUUGACGGUACCUGUAUAAGCAGCCCCGGCUAACUCCGUGCCAGCAGCCGCGGUAAUACGGAGGGGGCGAGCGUUGUUCGGAGUGACUGGGCGUAAAGAGCACGUAGGCGGUGUGGUAAGUCAUUAGUCAAAGACUAGAGCUCAACUUUAGUAAGGCUAGUGAUACUAUAAUACUAGAGUAUCAGAGAGGAUGGCAGAAUUCCUGGUGUAGCGGUGAAAUGCGUAGAUAUCACGCAGAACCCCGAUUGCGAAGGCAGCCUGCCGGCGCCCUACUGACGCUGAGGCACGAAAGUGCGGGGAUCGAACAGGAUUAGAUACCCCGGUAGUC